UCGGGGGUCUCCAGUUGGAGGGUUGUAGUUUUGACGGUGUUCAUCUCUGUGAGAAUCAACACGACUCUCCCAGUGUGUCCGCGGUCCCGCCCUGCUAUAUGGCCUGGGUGGCACAGAGCUCUGCUGCUGACUCGGCUGCUUCAGAGGAGAGCAUCUGGCUGCCUCUGUACACGAGCUCAGAGAGGGUGAAGGUGGUCACACACAUCUGCCUCCCCUGUGGAGUGAACCCUAACCAGUGGAUUCAGACUGGAGCCGCUCUGUUCCUCAAACAACAGUGAAAGGAAGUAGGAUACACACAUAGAGACCCUAACAACAGAGGACUGUGUGAGCACUGGAAGCCUCAGGUGAAGAUGAUGUUGUCAUGAAAGGCAGAUAUCACUGGGGAACAAUUAUUAACGCUGCAAAAAUGUCAGGCUCCGACGCUGACACCAUCGUUUUUUGAAUGAAGUACCUUAGCUUGGAGACCAAAGAUUAAAACAAGCAGUUACAGUAUGCCACCAUUUGCAUUAGAUGGUACAACAGAAGGGAAAACUGAAUAACCGACUGAAGUGGUUUGCUUAUAG